rnacentral:rRNA from 1 species
UACAGAGGGGGCAAGCGUUAUUCGGAAUUAUUGGGCGUAAAGGGCGCGUAGGCGGCUUUGCAAGUGACGGGUGAAAUCCCUCGGCUUAACCGAGGAACUGCCUGUCAAACUGCAUGGCUUGAGACCGGGAGAGGUGAGUGGAAUUCUCGGUGUAGCGGUGAAAUGCGUAGAUAUCGAGAGGAACACCUGCGGCGAAGGCGGGUUGCUGGGCUGACACUGACGCUGAUGCGCGAAAGCUAGGGGAGCGAACGGG